GGCUUUGUAGUGUAGUGGUUAUCACUCAAGAUUCUGAUCGUAGCUCGCCCGGAUUCGAACUGGGAGUUUCUUACGUAAGCAUUCUUGUAACCCCGGUUCGAAUCCGGGCAAGGCCU
rnacentral:tRNA from 1 species